rnacentral:rRNA from 1 species
CCCUUAGAUGUUCUGGGCCGCACGCGCGCUACAAUGAUGAAUUCAACGAGUUUAUAACCUUGGUUGAAAAGCCUGGGUAAUCUUUUGAACUUUCGUCGUGAUGGGGCUAGACCCUUGCAAUUAUUGGUCUCCAACGAGGAAUUCCUAGUAAACGCAAGUCAUCAGCUUGCAUUGAUUACGUCCCUGCCCUUUGUACACACCGCCCGUCGCACCUACCGAUUGAAUGGUCCGGUGAAAUCUUCGGAUUGAGACUUUGAUUUCUUCACGGAGAACGCUGUUUUAAGAAGUUGAUUAAACCUUACCAUUUAGAGGAAGGUGAAGUCGUAACA